rnacentral:rRNA from 1 species
UCCAGACUCCUACGGGAGGCAGCAGUGGGGAAUAUUGCACAAUGGGGGAAACCCUGAUGCAGCGACGCCGCGUGGGCGAGGAAGUACCUCGGUAUGUAAAGCCCUAUCAGCAGGGAAGAAACAGGACAGUACCUGACUAAGAAGCCCCGGCUAAAUACGUGCCAGCAGCCGCGGUAAUACGUAUGGGGCAAGCGUUAUCCGGAUUUACUGGGUGUAAAGGGAGCGUAGGCGGCAGGGCAAGCCUGAUGUGAAAGCCCGGGGCUCAACCCCGGGACUGCAUUGGGAACUGCCCCGCUCGAGUGCCGGAGGGGCAGGCGGAAUUCCUAGUGUAGCGGUGAAAUGCGUAGAUAUUAGGAGGAACACCAGUGGCGAAGGCGGCCUGCUGGACGGUGUACUGACGCUGAGGCUCGAAAGCGUGGGGAGCAAACAGGAUUAGAUACCCCCGUA